rnacentral:rRNA from 1 species
UACGGGGGGGGCAAGCGUUGUUCGGAAUUACUGGGCGUAAAGGGCUCGUAGGCGGCCAACUAAGUCGGAUGUGAAAUCCCCAGGCUUAACCUGGGAACUGCAUCCGAUACUGGAUGGCUUGAAUCCGGGAGAGGGAUGCGGAAUUCCAGGUGUAGCGGUGAAAUGCGUAGAUAUCUGGAGGAAUACCGAUGGCGAAGGCAGCCCCCUGGGAUAACACUGACGCUCAUGCACGAAAGCGUGGGGAGCAAACAGG